AACUUUCGACAACGGAUCUCUUGGUUCUGGCAUCGAUGAAGAACGCAGCGAAAUGCGAUAAGUAGUGUGGAUUGCAGAAUUCAGUGAAUCAUCGAAUCUUUGAACGCACAUUGCGCGCUUCGGUAUUCCGUUGGGCAUGCCUGUUCGAGCGUCAUUUAAACCUUCAAGCUCUGCUUGGUGUUGGGUGUUUGUUCCGCCUCUGUGCGUGGACUCGCCUUAAAUUCAUUGGCAGCCGGUAUGUUGGCUUCGUGCGCAGCACAUUGCAAACGAUUCAAGCGUACCCCCUCCCAUUAAGCCCCCUUUUUUACUUUGACCUCGGAUCAGGUAGGGAUACCCGCUGAACUUAAGCAUAUCAAUAAGCGGAGGCU
rnacentral:misc_RNA from 1 species